rnacentral:misc_RNA from 1 species
UCCGGUUUGUUUCCGGCAGUCUCUUUAGAUGUGCAACUAAAGACAAGGGUUGCGCUCGUUGCGGGACUUAACCCAACAUCUCACGACACGAGCUGACGACAGCCAUGCAACAUCUGUGCAUCUGUCCUUGCGGAGGCUCCUCUUUCAAGGAGUUGCAAAUGCAUGUCAAGCCCAGGUAAGGUUCUUCGCGUCGCAUCGAAUUAAACCACACGCUCCGCUGCUUGUGCGGGUCCCCGUCAAUUCCUUUGAGUUUUAGUCUUGCGACCGUACUCCCCAGGCGGGCCACUUAAUGCGUUAGCUUCGGCACGGAAGGGGUCAACACCCCCCACACCUAGUGGCCAUCGUUUACUGCUAGGACUAC